GAAGAUACACUAAGUUAUGAGCUAACCAAGGUUCUUGUGAUGUUUUUACCUAACUAAGCUAAUUUUCUAAUAAAUGAACUAAAUUAGAUAAUUAUGUCAUUUUGGAGGAUAAUUAGCUAAGUAUAUCUUUCUUGGGGAAAAUAAGCUAAGGAGAAGAAGAAAGAGUAGUAGAAGAAGAAGAAGAUGGAGGAGGAGGAGGAGGAGGAGAAGAAGAAGAAGAAGAAGAAGAAGGUGAAGAAGGUGGAGGAGGAGGAGGAGUAGAAGAAGAAGGAUAAGAAGGGGAAGAGGAUGAUUACAAUGCUUUUCUUAUUUUGAGCUUAUUAUGUCAAUUAGGAGGAAGAUAUGCUAAUUUAUGAGCUAACCAAGGUUUUUGUGAUGUUUUUACCUAACUAAGGUAAUUAUGUCAUAAAUGAAAUAAUUAGCUAAUUAUGUCAGUUUGGAGGAUAAUUAGCUAAGUAUGUCUUUCUUAGGGAAAAUAAGAUAAGGGGAAGAAGAAAGAGGAGAAGAAAGAGGAGAAGAAGAAGGAGAAGAAUAAGAGGAAGAAGGAGGAGGAGGGGGAGAAAAACAAAAAGAAGAAGAAGAAGAAGAAGAAGAAGAAUAAGAAGAGGAAGGAGAAGA
rnacentral:lncRNA from 1 species